UACGGAGGGGGCAAGCGUUGUUCGGAAUUACUGGGCGUAAAGGGCGCGCAGGCGGCUGCUCAAGUCAGGCGUGAAAGGCCUGGGCUCAACCCGGGAAUUGCGCUUGAGACUGGGCUGGCUUGAGUGCGGGAGAGGAUGGUGGAAUUCCCAGUGUAGAGGUGAAAUUCGUAGAUAUCAGGAAGAACACCCGUGGCGAAGGCGGAUCUCUGGGCCAUUACUGACGCUGAGGAGCGAAAGCGUGGGGAGCGAACAGG
rnacentral:rRNA from 1 species